GGAAGGGAGAGAGAUAGAGAGAAGAGAGAGAGAUAGAGAGAGAGACAGAGAGAAACAUGGCUGUGAGAGAGAUGCAUUGAUUGUCUGCCUCCUGCUCGCACCCCGACCAGGGCAGGGGAACCUGCCACUGAGUUAUGUGGCCUUGAUCAGAAUCAAACCCAGA